UCCUCCUUAGCUCAAUUGGCAGAGCAUGCGACUGUUAAUCGCAGGGUUGAUGGUUCGAGUCCAUCAGGAGGAGCCA
rnacentral:tRNA from 1 species